AGAGCAGCAUUAAUUUCUCCAUUAGAAACGAAGAAAUGAGAGGGUGGGAAGGCCUCAGCCACCACAAAGAAACAGAUGCUGCUGGUGGAAGGCCACGCCUUUUUCCAAAUGCAAAACUCACACCAGCUCUCCAAGUUUGAGUUUGCUUUCUCAGCCUUCCAGACCUCGAAUCGGCAAAAAUCAUUUUUUUCCAUGCUAGUUAAAAUGCCCCUAAGCUACAGGCAUUCGAUUUGCUGGACAGCGGCAUCAUUCUGAUAUUAUCAGCUCUGUCUUCCUGUUUUCAUGAAUAAUGUAUAAGAAGGAGCUAUUAGAAAUGGAUUCUUCCAUGGCUGACGGUCUUGCCACGAGACAGGUCCCUGAAUUCUCAGUCAUUUCAUCUGCAGCACAAACAGAUCACCCCCUUCUGCUGGCUCCCUUCUGGCUGCUUGCUACGCGUGGAGAACCUUCUAGAGACACACUCUCCUCCCUUCUCCCUCGAUGGUAGGAAAACUGGGGGGCACAAGAAGAGGUGCCCUCCAUCCUCCUUCCUUUUCAUUCUUGCUCCAUGUCGGAGGAGCAGCACGGGAGUUACUGAUGCCAAGUUCAUGGGUUUAAUCCCUGGCCUGCCCUGUGUGAGCCAAGCCAGCCUGCUCUGUAUGCACAAGCCUGCCAAGAAAAGGCUUCUCCUUGGGCACAGGUAAGGCUGCAGGAGGACCUCUGCCUGAAUGUUCUCACCCAUGUCUCUAAGUGCUUGCAUCUCUCAUAUCUUUACAAAGAGGAGAACCAUCGUCUUUCAGCCCCACCCCUUCAUUCAUUCAUUCAUUCAACAUUUUUUUUUUUUGUCUUUUUUUGUCUUUUGUUGUUGUUGUUGUUGCUAUUUCUUGGGCCUCUCCUGCGGCAUAUGGAGGUUCCCAGGCUAGGGGUUGAAUCGGAGCUGUAGCCACCGGCCUACGCCAGAGCCACAGCAACGCGGGAUCCGAGCCGCGUCUGCAACCUACACCACAGCUCACGGCAACGCCGGAUCGUUAACCCACUGAGCAAGGGCAGGGACUGAACCCGCAACCUCAUGGUUCCUAGUCGGAUUCGUUAACCACUGCGCCACGACGGGAACUCCCAUUCAACAUAUUUUUAUUACACGUGAGGCUUCCAGUGGAGAAGGCGUGCCAUGACCAAAGAUUAUAGAAAUGAUUAGAAGACGUACAAAGAAGAGCAUCAAAGACACUCUCCUCACCCCUGGAGUCUGACAAUGACGGAGUUCUGGCUCUCCUCCCCUUUCCUCAUUCUUCCGAGCCUCUCAGGUUGCUCCACUCCUGCCCUCAACCUGUGGCUGCAAAUGUGGAGUUUUCCUCCUUCUCUGUGCCCUGGUGUCAGGUGCAGUGCCUGGCACCUAGACUGAGCACGGUGAAUGCCACGACCAUGGAUCUGAGUCCCGACAGAGAGCCUGAAAGCCCCCUGAAUACCCCACAUGGGAGGGGCUCCAAAAACGGUUACCCUCACGUAUUAGGAUGUCAUGCAGUGACCUUGAGCGUGGGGUUUUUGAAAACGAACGAUCUUGGAAAUUUCUCCCGAUGUACUGUAAAUUUGAAAGCAGAAUAUAACAUCCACCCUAAAGCAUGAUCUCAAUCUUAUGUGGAAAAAAGUGGAGGUACCAAGAGACUGGAAGCAGCUUUAGCAAAAUAUUACCAUGCCGUCUGUGUGGGUGGAAUUAGUAGUAAUUUUUAUUUCCAUUUUUGUGCUAUGGCAUCUCCCCCCCCCACAGGUGUUAACUAAUGACUAAAUCAUUUAAAUUAGUUCAUUUAAUUGAACUCAUAGGAAGCCCUCAUUCCAUUCAGUGAUGGGCAGAGCGCAAGCAUGGUCUCCAUCCUAUCCUGAAGAACUGCUUUUAUAAAUAAGAAGGAAACGUUUUUUAAAAUCAAGAUGAAAGAAAGGAACAGCCAUUUUCACUCCCAGAAACAACGCUCUCCUGCAGGUGUCCGGGGGAGCUCCGUCCAGCAGCUCCGUGAUACGACCCGCCAAGGGUGCCAAGAACUGAACCUUGACGAAUGUCCGUUUGUCAUUUGUGCCUGAGGCAAGAUGCUGCGAACAAGGGCUCCUCCCUGUUGUAUCUGUUACUCCGGAGCGGGACACUUUGUACCAUUCACUUUAUACAAUCGAGUCCCACCUCCCUGGAUGCUCGCAGUCGCUCCAUUCCAGCGCUCCCGUGGGCACACGUCUAAGGAGAGUCUUCUCCUGGACUCAGCCCUCAAGUGUUCUAGAUGAAAAUGCCCCCUCCCCUCAGGUCCGAAGCCUGGCUCCACUACCUGCUGCUUCGUACCCAAAGCAGGGGCUUGUGAUUCAAUCACAGAAAAAAAAAAACACCAGCCUGAGUGAGCAAGAAAACAGCAGGAGCCCAAGGACUCCUGUGAACAAAGAGACUGAUUGUUUUCAUGCAAAGUGUUUUUAGUAGUAGGGAGAUAACAGGCAAAUGAAAUAUGAAAGAUAGGCAGAGAUUUUUUUCUUAAACCAAUGGAAGGGGCGGGAGCUCUUUAAUCAAACCAGAGCACAUCUUUUAACCGUGAACUUGGACUCAUCCAGUUCCCACAGUUCUUAUCAGGUAGAAAAGAAUCUCUGCUCUGACUCCUCUUCCCCCACCCUCUUCCAGUCCGGCACAAUCACGUCUCUUUCUGCUUCCCGAGCGUUCCGUCUUAGCCUUGUCUGAAACAGCCUGUUUUGAAAUGUUAGGGCUUCCUAAUGAUGAGAAGUUUAUCACCAGAGAGUGAUUGUAAGCGGUAGAUAGAAUGAGCAAUAUUAACUCUACUAGUUGUCUCUUUAUUUUAACACACUUAGAGAAAACUAUGUCUAGCACGUCAAACUUAGGAUUUUAUUAUAGGCUACGGCAGCCUCAGUUUUAAAAAGCCAGUUAAUAUAGAGCCAAUAAACAGAAAAGUAUUAAAUAAA
rnacentral:lncRNA from 1 species